UUUGCAUCAUAAGUUUCCUAUAAAAGUCGCUACAAAAUUAUACGAAAAUAAUUCCAACGAGUAUCUACAAGCAAUGAAAACGUCUACUAACAUUUUCGUUCUUUUUGCAUUAAUGUGUUUUGUUCAAGUGAUGUGCGCACCAGAGCCAAUAAAUUGGAGAAGAGUGGGCCGAAGAGGUUGGAAAAUUGGACGCCAAGCUGUUCCUGUGAUAAGAGACGGAGUCGAAAUUUACACAAUGCUACAACAACCAUCUUAUCCAUACGGACAACCCCCAUAUUAUUACGGAAAUCCAUAUCAAAUUCCACAGGGUUAUCAACGUUUCCAAUAUGACCACCCCGUCCAGAUGUACUGAUUAAUUGAAUAACUUUUAUGAGUAGUUUAAUCAAGUUUAUUCAAAUUUUGAUGUAAAGUUUUGAGUAAAGGAAUUGUCAAUA